rnacentral:rRNA from 1 species
UUGGCGGCAGGCCUAACACAUGCAAGUCGAACGGUAACAGGAAUCAGCUUGCUGAUUCGCUGACGAGUGGCGGACGGGUGAGUAAUGUCUGGGAAACUGCCUGAUGGAGGGGGAUAACUACUGGAAACGGUAGCUAAUACCGCAUAACGUCGCAAGACCAAAGAGGGGGACCUUCGGGCCUCUUGCCAUCGGAUGUGCCCAGAUGGGAUUAGCUAGUAGGUGGGGUAAAGGCUCACCUAGGCGACGAUCCCUAGCUGGUCUGAGAGGAUGACCAGCCACACUGGAACUGAGACACGGUCCAGACUCCUACGGGAGGCAGCAGUGGGGAAUAUUGCACAAUGGGCGCAAGCCUGAUGCAGCCAUGCCGCGUGUAUGAAGAAGGCCUUCGGGUUGUAAAGUACUUUCAGCGGGGAGGAAGGGAGUAAAGUUAAUACCUUUGCUCAUUGACGUUACCCGCAGAAGAAGCACCGGCUAACUCCGUGCCAGCAGCCGCGGUAAUACGGAGGGUGCAAGCGUUAAUCGGAAUUACUGGGCGUAAAGCGCACGCAGGCGGUUUGUUAAGUCAGAUGUGAAAUCCCCGGGCUCAACCUGGGAACUGCAUCUGAUACUGGCAAGCUUGAGUCUCGUAGAGGGGGGUAGAAUUCCAGGUGUAGCGGUGAAAUGCGUAGAGAUCUGGAGGAAUACCGGUGGCGAAGGCGGCCCCCUGGACGAAGACUGACGCUCAGGUGCGAAAGCGUGGGGAGCAAACAGGAUUAGAUACCCUGGUAGUCCACGCCGUAAACGAUGUCGACUUGGAGGUUGUGCCCUUGAGGCGUGGCUUCCGGAGCUAACGCGUUAAGUCGACCGCCUGGGGAGUACGGCCGCAAGGUUAAAACUCAAAUGAAUUGACGGGGGCCCGCACAAGCGGUGGAGCAUGUGGUUUAAUUCGAUGCAACGCGAAGAACCUUACCUGGUCUUGACAUCCACGGAAGUUUUCAGAGAUGAGAAUGUGCCUUCGGGAACCGUGAGACAGGUGCUGCAUGGCUGUCGUCAGCUCGUGUUGUGAAAUGUUGGGUUAAGUCCCGCAACGAGCGCAACCCUUAUCCUUUGUUGCCAGCGGUCCGGCCGGGAACUCAAAGGAGACUGCCAGCGAUAAACUGGAGGAAGGUGGAGAUGACGUCAAGUCAUCAUGGCCCUUACGACCAGGGCUACACACGUGCUACAAUGGCGCAUACAAAGAGAAGCGACCUCGCGAGAGCAAGCGGACCUCAUAAAGUGCGUCGUAGUCCGGAUUGGAGUCUGCAACUCGACUCCAUGAAGUCGGAAUCGCUAGUAAUCGUGGAUCAGAAUGCCACGGUGAAUACGUUCCCGGGCCUUGUACACACCGCCCGUCACACCAUGGGAGUGGGUUGCAAAAGAAGUAGGUAGCUUAACCUUCGGGAGGGCGCUUACCACUUUGUGAUUCAUGACUGGGGUG